rnacentral:rRNA from 1 species
ACUCCUACGGGAGGCAGCAGUGGGGAAUAUUGCACAAUGGGGGAAACCCUGAUGCAGCCAUGCCGCGUGUGUGAAGAAGGCCUUCGGGUUGUAAAGCACUUUCAGCGAGGAGGAAAGGGUGUGUGCUAAUACCAUACAUCUGUGACGUUACUCGCAGAAGAAGCACCGGCUAACUCCGUGCCAGCAGCCGCGGUAAUACGGAGGGUGCGAGCGUUAAUCGGAAUUACUGGGCGUAAAGCGUGCGCAGGCGGUUUGUUAAGCGAGAUGUGAAAGCCCCGGGCUCAACCUGGGAAUUGCAUUUCGAACUGGCAAGCUAGAGUCUUGUAGAGGGGGUAGAAUUUGCAGGUGUAGCGGUGAAAUGCGUAGAGAUGGGAAGGAACAUCAGUGGCGAAGGCGGCCACCUGGACUGAUACUGACACUGAGGUGCGAAAAGCGUGGGGAGCAAACAGGAUUAGAUACCCUGGUAGCGAGUAG